rnacentral:rRNA from 1 species
GGAGGGGGCUAGCGUUAUUCGGAAUUAUUGGGCGUAAAGGGCGUGUAGGCGGCUUCGUAUGUCCCAUGUGAAAGCCCUCGGCUCAACCGGGGAAUUGCAUGGGAAACUGCGGAGCUUGAGUCCGGGAGAGGAGAGUGGAAUUCCCAGUGUAGCGGUGAAAUGCGUAGAUAUUGGGAGGAACACCAGUGGCGAAGGCGGCUCUCUGGACCGGUACUGACGCUGAGACGCGAAAGCCAGGGGAGCAAACGGGGAUUAGAUACCCCGGUAGUCCUGGCCGUAAACGAUGAACACUUGGUGUAGCGGGUAUCGACCCCCCUGCUGUGCCCGAAGCUAACGCAUUAAGUGUUCCGCCUGGGGGAGUACGGCCGCAAGGCUG